rnacentral:rRNA from 1 species
UACAGAGGUGGCAAGCGUUGUUCGGAAUUACUGGGCGUAAAGGGCGAGUAGGUGGCCAUCUAAGUCAGACGUGAAAUCCCCCGGCUUAACCUGGGAACUGCGUCUGAUACUGGACGGCUUGAGUAUGGGAGAGGAAUGUAGAAUUCCAGGUGUAGCGGUGAAAUGCGUAGAUAUCUGGAGGAACACCGGUGGCGAAGGCGGCUCUCUGGGCCUUACCUGACGCUGAGGAGCGAAAGCGUGGGUAGCGAACAGG